rnacentral:misc_RNA from 1 species
UGACUCAUGGAGUCAUUGGUGUGAAACCUAGAAUGGAUUUGACAUUUAUCCAUUCAUCUCUAAUUUUAAACACAGCAAGAAAGAAAAACACCCUAAUAGGGACAAUAUUCAAAAAUUUAACAUUCAGUCCUGUGAAACUAGCACAUUUUAAUAACAGGUGCCUGUGAUUUUAAUUUAUUGAAAAAAAAUCAUAUAUGACAUACAUGACAUGAUCAUAUUGACAACAAUUCCGAUAUUGUCGUUCAUAAAACAGGAGACUUAAUAAUACUGCCAUUAGCCAAGCUUUACAUUAAAUUAUCAUAACUUAUUUGAUAUAAUCUUUUAAGGCAAGCACAAUCUACAUCUUAUUCAAAAUGUACUUAAAACAAAAGUUUUCUUUACUUAACAAUCAUACACAUAAGCUAUACACUAUACAGAGUUUCUUAGAAUAGAGAUUAAAUCCAUUCCAUACGUAACAUGUAUAUUCCUCUAGUUGCAAUACACUCAUCAAAUAAUUUCUCAGCGCUCCACAAUUAAUAAUUCACACAGAUUUCAUAGACAUUAUGUAAUCAUACAAACGGGUAAUACUAUCCACAUUCUAUAACUCAUAAUUAACACCUCAUUAAUUAAACCUGUGAUCGUAUAACAAUUAUUUGAUAGGAUGCACUUGCCUAGCGGAUUACAGGUAAAGCUAGGGCAGUUUCUCCCUUUUAUAAUACACUGCACAACAUAACCAAGAUAACAUUCCCCACUCACAUUUCUCUACAUAAUUCAAUCUUCUUAUUUGUUGCUUACAAGCAUAAUACGAAAGGUUGUCUUUAUGGAUGAAAAUAGUCUUUAAAAAAAUUUACCUUUUGAAAAGCGUUCUUGAUUCAAAGUUCUUUUGUUUAAAAUGCUAAACAUAUCUCAUUGAGAAUCAAAAUUUCUCUCAGUGACACACAAACAAUCAUAUCCUACUAAGAAUCACUCUCAGUGACAAGCAUCUAUUUUAUCUUUUCACACCAGUGCAAUUUUUGCAAUAGACUCCACUAUAUACAGCCGAGUCUGUGACAUGUACAUUGUGUAUUGUAGUCAACCAGAGGGUGUGCCAUUUCUUUUUAUUUACACCUGUGUGCUCAUUUACCUUUGUAUGUCUCUAUGAACAGUUGUUCAAUAAAAUAUAAAUGUACAUAUGU